rnacentral:lncRNA from 1 species
GGGCAGUGUGUUUUGUUUUCAGAGAGGACUCAUAAAUAAGCUGGCUGUAGAGGACUCUGGAGACAGUGUUAAGGAGGAGACACCAUAAGCUCUGUCCUCCUGUCCUUUCUUACCACACCAUGUGGAAGAACAGAUAUGCUCAGCUGUACCUUUUUUCAGUUCUUCUUGCCUUCCUGCCUUCUGCAUCUUCACUCAAUGGAGACCCGAAGUAUAUGGUGCUGGUCCCUUCUCAGCUCUACACUGAGACCCCUGAGAAAAUCUGCUUCCAUCUAUACCAUCUGAAUGAGACAGUGACCGUCACAGCUUCCUUGGUGUCUCAAUCAAGAUGGAGAAACCUGUUCGAUGAGCAUAUCACAGAUUUCUUGGUAUCUCAAUUGGAAAGGAGAAACCUGUUCGAUGAGCUUGUGGUUGACAAGGACUUGUUCCAAUGUGUUUCCUUCAUUAUCCCUACACUCAACUCUCCUGAUGAGGAGGAGUUUCUCUACGUGGACAUCAAAGGGCCAACCCACGAAUUCAGCAAAAGGAAAGCAGUGCUUGUGAAGAACAAAGAAAGUGUUGUCUUUGUCCAGACAGAUAAGCCCGUGUACAAACCAGGACAAUCAGGUAUGAAGCUCCACUGUGGACAAAGGAAUUAAGACACCAUUCUGAACAUGGCAAGAAGGGCUGUGUCUAUGGACCUCACUAGUAAAUUCUCUCUCUCUCUUUUUCAAGUUAAAUUUCGGGUUGUCUCUAUGGAUAAAACUCUACACCCCCUGAAUGAGUUGGUGAGUCUUUAACCUGUGGGUAUUGGUGGAUUAUUCAAGACAAAAAUGUCAGUGCAAUAUUAUAAUUUCCAGCCCCUUCUGAGGCAUGAGUUGUUUUUUCUUCUAAUCUUUUGCCCGUUUAUACCCCUCACUCACCAUUGGCCAUCCUAUGGCUUCUUUGUAUGUGAGUGUCCUUAUUUUGUAGCUUAUUGGUUAAGUAUCUUUGGGUUUUCUUUGUGGAGACUAUUAUUGGAUAGAAUCUUUCAGCUGCUUAUGCUUUUCAGUCAUUACUUUUGCAGAUUCUGCUACUUGGUGCCAUCCUUACGUAAUCCAUUUCUAGUGUAACAGGGUUACUUCUCUCACAGUCUCUAUUAUUUUUACAACUUUGUGUUUAAAACUUGGAUUCUUCCCUAAAUACAGUCUUUAAAGAACAAAAUUGCA